rnacentral:lncRNA from 1 species
CUUAUCUAAAACACCGUGGACAGAUCAGGGAUCAAGAGGGAAUAGGUAUGUUUGUGGGAAGAACUUUUGCCACACAUAUAGAGGCUGGCAGGUUAGAAGAGCUCAGCUGCAAAGGUCUGGGAUUAAUUGCUUCCCCUUCCCUAAAUGGUAUAAAUGGCCAUGCAGGCUUUGUAUCUUCCUGCUAAGGAACCAAUCCUCUCCUUCGCCCAUCUCUCCAUUAGGAAGAAAGCCUUUUUGGUGGCCGGCCUGGUGGCGCAGUGGUUAAGUGCGCACGUUCUACUUCGGCAGCCCGGGGAUCACCAGUUCGGAUGCCUGGUGUGGACAUGGCGCCGCUUGGCAAGCCAUGCUGUGAUAAGAGUCACUCCCAUGGCUCAUCUCUCUCUCCUAAAGAAGAAAAACUUAAAAGAAACAUGCAAAGUUGGAAAAAGGAGUCAAAAGAGAAAACCAAACGUUAGAAAAAGCUUCUGAAAAAGAGGAAGUACAGUAAUUCUUUGGUGUAAGUUCUCAUAAAAACAUGCUUGUAUUGUAACAUGAUUAUUCCAUUAACAUUAGGAAACAGUUUUUAUGUGUAGAGAAAU